rnacentral:rRNA from 1 species
AGCUCCAAUAGCGUAUAUUAAUGUUGUUGCAGUUAAAAAGCUCGUAGUCGGAUUUCGGAGCAGGUGAACGGUUCGGCCGAUGGGUUUGUAACUGUUGACUUGCUCUUCCUUCCGAAGGCUGCGUCUGCCCUUGAUUGGAUGGGCGUGGAAUUCGGAACUUUUACUUUGAAAAAAUUAGAGUGUUUAAAGCAGGCAUAUGCUCUGAAUACAUUAGCAUGGAAUAAUCGAAUAGGACUUUGGUUCUAUUUUGUUGGUUUCUAGGACUGAAGUAAUGAUCAACAGGGACGGUUGGGGGCGUUCGUAUUUCAUUGUCAGAGGUGAAAUUCUUGGAUUUAUGAAAGACGAACUUCUGCGAAAGCAUCCGCCAGGGACGUUUUCAUUGAUCAAGAACGAAAGUAGG